GACGAACGCUGGCGGCGUGCUUAACACAUGCAAGUCGAGCGGUAAGGCCCUUUCGGGGGUACACGAGCGGCGAACGGGUGAGUAACACGUGGGUGACCUGCCUUUAGCUCUGGGAUAAGCCUGGGAAACUGGGUCUAAUACCGGAUACGACUCCGCGGUGCAUGCUGUGGGGUGGAAAGCCUUGUGCGGCUGGAGAUGGGCCCGCGGCCUAUCAGCUUGUUGGUGGGGUGAUGGCCACCAAGGCGACGACGGGUAGCCGGCCUGAGAGGGCGACCGGCCACACUGGGACUGAGACACGGCCCAGACUCCUACGGGAGGCAGCAGUGGGAAUCUUGCGCAAUGGGCGAAAGCCUGACGCAGCGACGCCGCGUGAGGGAUGACGGCCU
rnacentral:rRNA from 1 species